UGGGGAAUUUUGCACAAUGGGGGAAACCCUGAUGCAGCGACGCCGCGUGAUUUAGAAGGCCUUCGGGUUGUAAAAAUCUUUUCUAUGGGAAGAAAAUGACAGUACCAUAGGAAUAAGGACCGGCUAAUUACGUGCCAGCAGCCGCGGUAAUACGUAAGGUCCGAGCGUUGUCCGGAAUCAUUGGGCGUAAAGGGUACGUAGGCGGGUAAGCAAGUUAGAAGUGAAAUCCUAUAGCUCAACUAUAGUAAGCUUUUAAAACUGCUCAUCUUGAGGUAUGGAAGGGAAAGUGGAAUUCCUAGUGUAGCGGCGAAAUGCGCAGAUAUUAGGAGGAAUACCGGUGGCGAAGGCGACUUUCUGGCCAUAACCUGACGCUGAGGUACGAAAGCGUGGGUAGCAAACAGG
rnacentral:rRNA from 1 species